CAGUUCGGAUUGGAGUCUGNAACCCGACUCCAUGAAGCUGGAUUCGCUAGUAAUCGCGCAUCAGCCACGGCGCGGUGAAUACGUUCCCGGGCCUUGUACACACCGCCCGUCAAGCCAUGGAAGCCGGGAGUGCCUGAAGUGCGUGAGCGCAAGCAGCGCCCUAAGGUAAAACCGGUGACUGGGGCUAAGUCGUAACAAGGUAGC
rnacentral:rRNA from 1 species